AGGAGUUGGGAUGAAAGAAGUUAUCCCACUUUCAAAAUCAGGUGAUUCCCAGUUUCCCAGUUGUUUGGGAUAGGACAGCUUUUCGUCGUUCCAAUCAAACCAGGAUGAAUCUCUUUGUGAGAAGCUUGAUUUGGAUACAUAAAGUGGUGGAGAAUCACCAGGAAGUUGUGAAUAAAUCUCAUAGGAGUUUGUAUGGAAGAAGAAGUUAUCCCACUUUCAAAUCAGGUGAUUCCAGUUUCCCAGUUUGGGAAUAGCACAGCUUCUUCGUCGUCCAAUUCAAACCAGGAUGAAUCCACUUUGUGAGAAGCUUGAUUUGGAUACAUAAAGUGGUGGAAAUCACCAGGAAGUUGAUAAAUC